UCUGAUUGCAUUAGGCUGUUCUUCUUGGUUGGCAGUUCUUGGGUAUAUAAUUCUAUUAAAAUGCUGUGGUGUUGCAUGCUACAUCUCAAAAUUCAUGCUAAAGUAGGAAGGUCUUUCAAAUUCUACAAACUGAAAAUAGAACUCUAAAUAUAUAGAAGAAACUGACUAAAAAUAGAAUAGAAUCUGCAAUUAAAACUCUAAAUAUAUACAAGAAACUGACUACAAAUAGGAUAGAUGAGAUCACUAUUGUUUUGCAGGUGUUUUUCUUUAAGCUAAAAUGCUAAAUAUGUUCCUGAACUUCCUCACUUUACCUAAAUAAGUCCAUAGAUUUUUAUUGUAUCCAAAUAAGCCUAUACCCUAUAAUUUGUACCUGGAUAGGCUCGGAUAGGCUCUUGUAUUGACAAAAAGAUGUUAUGCAUAUCAUGUGAUCUUAUCGGUCAUUAGGUCCAUGGUCAGCUGGCAUCUUAUGUAUGCAUAGUGGACAUUGAUGUGGUUUUUUUGAUGUGUUAAAAUUAGUUUUUUUUUUUUUUAAAUUAUUUGUUGAAAUUAGUUGAGUGGGAAAAUUUUUUGCUUGAAACGUGGUCAUUUGAGUUAACAUGGUGAUGUAGCCGAAAGGUUUAGGGCAAUUAGAACUCAACAAUUAGGGCUAGAAUAGGGUUGAUUGUGUUGGAACAAUAAAAAGAUAAUUGGGUUUUCAAAGAAACCUCUUGAAUAAAUAUUCAAAAUAACAAAAGAUGAUAAUAAUAAUCUUCUACCUAAGAUACUUAUUUAUAAUAGUUAAGAUAAAUCCUAAUCAAAUAGUAAUUUUAAUCCUAAAUAAAAACUUAAAGUACUAAAAUUCUAAUAAAGAUAGGAAAAAGAAUUUCAAACUAAAUAAAUAAAAUAAAAUCCUAAACUAACUAAAAUACUAAAUAAAUUUUCAUAUGCGCCUGCAUCAGUCCCCUCGGGUCAGAAAAGACUCGACUCCGACGAGUAGGCCUUGACAUACUCCUCAUAGAUGUCGGGAUCCACUCUUUUCAAUUCUUCUUCUGCAAUCCAAGUGCUUUCAUUAGCAGGUUUACUAAGCCAUUUCACUAAAAAUCGUCUAUACGGGUUCCCUCGUCUAGAUCGAACCUCUUUUACAUCUAGCACAUCCUCAAUAACUUCAACCUUAGCAAUUGGAAGGUGCUGAAUUUGAGCGUCUAUGGUAGAUGCAGUUCCAUCACAUCCAUCAAAUGGAUACAAGUCCAAAAUAUUGAAAAUAGGACUGAUUUGUAACUCAGGUGGUAACUCAAUUAAAUAGGCAUUUGAACUGAUUUUCUUUAGCACCUUACAAGGUCCAAACUUUCUAGACUUGAGUUUGUGAUAAGUACCCUUAGGAAAUCUUUCUUGCCUCAAGUGCACAAGUACUUGAUCACCUUCCUCAAAUUCCUGCUUGCGACGAUGUUGAUUUGCUGUAAAAGAAUAUUCUGCAUUGCUGGCCUUUAAAGCAGCCUUUACCUCUUCAUGAAUUUUCCGAAUAUGGUCAGCAAAUAACUCUCCUUCAUUACUCACUCUAGCUUCUUGUGGUAGGGGUACUAAAUCUAGCACAUGUUGAGGUUUUAACCCAUAUGCAGCCUCAAAUGGUGUCUUCUUUAUGCUUCGAUUGACAGAAUUGUUGUAAGCAAAUUCAGCUUGGGGUAUGACUAAAUCCCAAGUCUUUGGGUUAUUUUGAAUAAGACAUCUUAACAUAUUACCCAAACUUCGAUUCACAACUUCUGUUUGACCAUCUGUUUGCGGAUGGCAAGUACUAGAAUACUUCAACUCUGUCCCAAAUUUCCUCCACAAAGUUCUCCAAAAAUGUCCCAUAAACUUCACAUCUCUAUCAGAAACAAUGGAAGUUGGAAUUCCAUGUAAUCUUACAAUCUCACGAAAGAAUAAUUCAGCAAUAUGAGUUGCAUCAGAAGUCCUAAAACACGGAAUAAAAUGUGCCAUUUUUGAAAACCGAUCCACCACCACAAAGAUAGAAUCAAAUCCUUUUGCUGUCUUUGGAAGUCCCAAAACAAAACCCAUACUCAAAUGAAUCCAAGGUGCAUCUGGCUCAGGUAAAGGAACAUAUAAACCAGUGUUUUGAGCACUGCCUUUACCAAAUAAACAAGCUGGACAUCUUUUCACCAACCUCUCCACAUCUCGGCGCAUUUUUGGCCAAUAAUAACGAUCAGCCACCAUUGCCAAAGUCUUGUCUCUGCCAAAAUGUCCUCCUAAACCAUUCCCAUGAAGUUCUCUAAUGAUUUGCUCCCUUAAAGAUCCUUCUGGAAUGCACAACUGGUUACCUUUGAAUAAAUAAUAUUCGUGCAACAUAUAAGGUAAAUUUUCAGCUUGUAAUGAACCCUGCAAAUCAGCUAUUAUCUUGCUGAAAUAUGAAUCAGAACUAUACUGAUUUUUAAGUUCUUCAAAUCCUGUGACUUGCGUGCUCAUAACUGAUAACAUUUUACAUCGCCUACUCAAAGCAUCAGCCACAGUAUUAGACUGCCCAGAUUUAUAUUUUAAAGAGAAAUUAAAUUCAUUGAGAAAAGAACUCCACUUAGCAUGUUGGUUACUAAGCUUUUUCUGCGAAUGCAAAUACUUUAAAGCUUGAUGGUCAGAAUAAACAGCAAACCCACGAUAAGCCAAGUAGUGCUGCCAAUGACGAAUGACCCUUACCAAAGCAUAAAACUCUAAGUCAUAAGUUGAAUAACGUCGUCUAGAGUCUGUCAACUUUUCACUAAAAAACUCUAUAGACCUUCCAUCUUGACUAAGAACUGCUCCAAUUCCUACAUGUGAAGCAUCACACUCAACAACAAAUAACUUCUCAAAAUUUGCUCUGAUACCACUUGAUGUAGCCGAAAGGUUUAGGGCAAUUAAAACUCAACAAUUAGGGCUAGAAUAGGGUUGAUUGUGUUGGAACAAUAAAAAGAUAAUUGGGUUUUCAAAGAAACCUCUUGAAUAAAUAUUCAAAAUAACAAAAGAUGAUAAUAAUAAUCUUCUACUUAAGAUACUUAUUUAUAAUAGUUAAGAUAAAUCCUAAUCAAAUAGUAAUUCUAAUCAUAAAUAAAGACUUAAAGUACUAAAAUUCUAAUAAAGAUAGGAAAAAGAAUCUCAAACUAAACAAAAUAAAAAAAUCCUAAACUAAUUAAAAUACUAAAUAAAUUUUCAUAUGCGCCUGCAUCACGUGGUCGUGUGAUCUUAGCCAAUUUCACCACAUUUGAAUAUCCAUGUCAUGUUAUGAAUGUGAAAGAUCUCAGUUGACCGUGAGUCUAAAGGCCAUUAAGGUCAAGUGACAUUUUUCCAUCAACAUAGGGGUUUAUCUAAGUAAAAAUCUAGAAUAGGAACUUAUUCUGAGUACAAUAAAAAGGUAAGGUUUAUUUUGUUUUUUGAAAAAUUUGGGAUAAUUCAGGGCCUUAUUAAGCACUUUUAGUUUUUCUUUUUCCUUGUUCCUUUUGGGAGAGUUUCUUGUCUGCUUUUUCUGAGUUUUACUUUGGCCUUUGGGUACAAAAAAAAGUGUCAGGGUUAGUGCUAUUUAAUCAAAGGUUUAAGUUCGGAUAUAGUUGCUGCACUUUUUCGACAUUUGAUUUGGUCUCUAAACUUUAAUUUCUUAAAAUCACAAUUUGUGCUUUCAAAUUUCUCCAACCAAGAAAAAUUCUAUAACACCCAAUAAAAGUACAAGACUGAAUUCUAACAAAAUUCUACAUAGGAUAAAUUUUUUAAUAGGUUGCCUAAGCUAAUUUAGAUCUGUUUGGUUAAUGUUUCCUGCUUUCUAUUUUGUGUUUUCUAUUUCGACUAAUUUUAUUUUGUUUUAGUUUUAAAAAUUUGAAAGCAAAAUGCAUGUUUGAUGUUUGGUAAGCAGCCUCAUUCCAUGUUGAAAAAAAAAAAAAAAGAAUGAUGUUAUUGCAAACAUAAUAAUUCAAUAUAGAAGUAAACUAUUAAAAAAUUAAUAAUAAAUAAUAACAUGAUGUAAUAUAAUAGAUUCUGAUAAAUUUAUAAAUUUGUGUAAUAUAUUCUAUCAUGUUAUUACUUAUUUUCUAUGAAAAAUCUUUCAUAUGUUUCAUUUUAAUAAUAAUAAUAGUAGUAGUAGUAAUUAACUAUUAAACAAUAAGUUGGCCCAAAGUUUAAAUGUUAACAUAAUGUAUUAUAUGUUAAACAUUAUAAUAAAACAUGAAGACAUAGCCUUUAGUUGUUAAAUAUCAAAUAUU
rnacentral:lncRNA from 1 species